rnacentral:rRNA from 1 species
GGUUAAGUUAGAAAGGGCGCACGGUGGAUGCCUUGGCACUAGGAGCCGAAGAAGGACGGGACUAACACCGAUAUGCUUUGGGGAGCUGUACGUAAGCGUUGAUCCAGAGAUUUCCGAAUGGGGGAACCCACUAUCUUUAGUCGGAUAGUAUCCUUACGUGAAUACAUAGCGUGAGGAAGGCAGACCCAGGGAACUGAAACAUCUAAGUACCUGGAGGAAGAGAAAGAAAAAUCGAUUUCCUGAGUAGCGGCGAGCGAAACGGAAAGAGCCCAAACCAAGAAGCUUGCUUCUUGGGGUUGUAGGACACUCUAUACGGAGUUACAAAAGAAAGUUAUAAAUGAAGCGGUCUGGAAAGGCCCGCCAAAGACGGUAACAGCCCGGUAGUUGAAAUGGCUUUCCCUC